UUCGUUCCAAAAUUUCAUAGGGACCAAUAUACCUCGGGGCUAACUUACCCUUUACUCCAAAGUGCUGUAUGCCUUUCAUUGGGGAUACCUUUAAGUAUACAAAAUCUCCGGCAUAAAAUUCCAAGGAUCGUCUUCUUUUGUCCGAAUAACUCUUUUGCCGGGACUGGGCUACUUCUAAAUGCUUUCGAAUCUUCUAGACCUUCCCCUCGGUCUCCAUAACCAAGUCCGAUCCCAAAUAUGUCCUUUCUCCUACUUCCGAC
rnacentral:lncRNA from 1 species